AUGCUGCUUCUGCACAUUGCUGUCCAAAAUCAGCCCUGCUAUCCACUACACAUUAAUGUCCAAAACCUGUUAUUAAACAGUCCAAAUCUACACAAAGAUUGCACAAAAAUGGCAAAGCUGAAAUCAGCAUCAAAACAGCCAAAAAUUCUCCUACUGUCUAGCCUAAACUGCCCAAGACCAAGCUUCUGUCCAAAACCUGUAAACCUGCCCAUAACAGUCCAUUACAAAGCCCUGCCAAAAUCAUGA